rnacentral:rRNA from 1 species
AGCGAACGCUGGCGGCAGGCCUAACACAUGCAAGUCGAACGAACUCUUCGGUGUUAGUGGCGGACGGGUGAGUAACACGUGGGAACGUGCCUUUAUGUUCGGAAUAACUCAGGGACACUUGUGCUAAUACCGAAUGUGCCUUUCGGGGGAAAGAUUUAUCGCCUUUAGAGCGGCCCGCGUGUGAUUAGCUAGUUGGUGAGGUAAAGGCUCACUACGGCGACGAUCAGUAGCUGGGCUGAGAGGAUGAUCAGCAACAUGGGGACUUAGACAGGCACCAAACUCCUACGGUAGGCAGUAGUGGGGAAGCUUGCGCAACGAGGGAAAGUCUGGCGCAGCCCCGCCGCGGGAUGUAUGAUGGUCUUAGGUGUGUAAAAUUCUGUCACCGGGGGCGAUAAUGACGGUACCCGGAGAAGAAGCCCCGGCUAACUUCGUGCCAGCAGCCGCCGUAA